CCUACGGGGUGCAGCAGUCGAGAAUCAUUCACAAUGGGGGAAACCCUGAUGGUGCGACGCCGCGUGGGGGAAUGAAGGUCUUCGGAUUGUAAACCCCUGUCAUGUGGGAGCAAAUUAAAAAGAUAGUACCACAAGAGGAAGAGACGGCUAACUCUGUGCCAGCAGCCGCGGUAAUACAGAGGUCUCAAGCGUUGUUCGGAAUCACUGGGCGUAAAGCGUGCGUAGGCUGUUUCGUAAGUCGUGUGUGAAAGGCGCGGGCUCAACCCGCGGACGGCACAUGAUACUGCGAGACUAGAGUGAUGGAGGGGGAACCGGAAUUCUCGGUGUAGCAGUGAAAUGCGUAGAUAUCGAGAGGAACACUCGUGGCGAAGGCGGGUUCCUGGACAUUAACUGACGCUGAGGCACGAAGGCCAGGGGAGCGAAAGGGAUUAGAUACCCCAGUAGUC
rnacentral:rRNA from 1 species